ACGAUGUUUAGGAAAAAUUUCAGUUUACAGCUGAAGUUGUCCCCACUCAUCAAAUUGUCCGUCUGCCUUUAUUUACCUACUGAAGAGGUUUCGGUUCGACAGAAAACAUAAUAUCACGCGGGUCAGAUCAGGGAUCCGACUCUUAAUCCGCGUUCAACCUUCAAGCAUCAGAGACCUAAUCUGAAACAAACCUGGAUGUACAAGUCACGUAACCGCCAGUCGGACUGAAAUCUCCACCGCUACUCAUCCUUCGUGCGCCGUCAUCGAAUCUAAGUGAAAUUUAAGUGAUCAGAGACAGGGCGCCCCAUUGAACACCCAUUGGCUUUGAUCACCUCCUUUCUUCUUUAGUCGUACGUAUCGCCUUGCCAGAGCCGAAUGUGGCAUAACACUUCGAGUUCUACCAAGCCCUACUUCUACCGUCUACCAGCAGGGAUGGAUGGCCACUUGGAUCGGCAAGUAGUUAAACAGUUUCAACAAUAACACGAGCUACAACGCCGCUAAGGUUCACGGCAUCGUACCGAAUCGACCUUCUACCCACCAGAUGUCGCUGUCUCGCUAGCAUUCUGCUGGGACAGAAGGAGUCACAAAAUGACAAUUACUGCAACUACUACGUCCUUAUAGCUCUGUGUAUGCGGCGGUAAGGGCGACACAUACGACUGUGGAUCGUAGGAGAGAAAAUGGUGGGGUUCACCUGGGAGCGGUCAAUGCUAGCCUAGUUGGAGCGACAAAUAAAUCGCUACUGGUGGAUGCAGUAUGAAAAGAACAAAACGGGAUUAAGACUGACCUGCCAUUCGACCAAUGUUAGAUAGGCGCCACUAUGUGUUAUUGCACGUCCAACGUGCAGAGGUCUCCCACGUACAGACAUACACGCAGAAUGAAAAAUAUACAUUCAUCGCGCAUCAAGGAAGAAUGGAUUGAAUAUACUAAAAAAUCUUUAGUAUAUGAAAUAGUGAAUUGCGGAUCGGGUGUUUGAGGGAACAGUUUUCUUGGCUUAUGCAGUAGGGUCAGCAUUGCACGCGCAAGUGGAACACGAAAGAAGUAGCAUAGGUCGAUCGAUCCGCUUUCGAAGGUUUCGCAUCGAAGAGUAAAAUUAGGACAAUUUACGAAGUAGUAGUCAUAUUUUGAGUCUGUUUACCCUUGAAGUAUUCGCAACUAAAGACACUUCUACGCGUAACAAUUAACGCAACACUAUGAUUCUAGGAACAUCUAUAGAAAGACAGAAUUCGUUUGUUUCCUUUGUCAUACUAAACAACGAAGCUGAUGUGCACAGAAGAUCGAUUAUUUUGAUCCUACUUAUUUUGAUACUGUUGGCAAACUAUUCGGGCACCGUGUAUGGAUGACUCGCAUCCGAGACAGCCAUAAAGAGUGUUUUAAGAGCCAUAAGAGCGAGAGGUAUCCCAUCGGAUUCUAUGGGUAUUUUUUGCACGCCGAAGUUUUCACAACCACACAUCAUCAUCGGACAAUAACAUUGCUUUUAUUACUCGGCAAAAGUACCAGGAUAACCAAAGGGGAAUAGGUUGUUUCCCGUCUGUUAUCAAUCUCCCGGUCCAGUGCGCAAACAAGGUACAAAAAAAGAAAGCAGUCACUCCUAGAAACAGAGCAUAAGGAAAAGUCCCAAUUUAGGGGGGUCGUGCCCAUAGGAAGGUGCAGAGGUGUGAUUGCUAGUCUAAUUCGUCGGAGUUUCAAAGAGAACUUUCGCUUUCUGAGCGAAGCGCAGUAAUCGACAGUACAGUUCCCAAUGGACUCCGAUGAUCCAGUUAUCAUCCUACAGCCAUACGCAUAGAGUGGCAAGCUAUUUCAUUUUGUUUGCUUGACUUUACAAUUGGAUCCGCUCACGGCGGCUGGGUCCCUGGGGUGU